GGUUGCGAUCCUACCAGCACUAAUGCACCGGAUCCCAUCAGAACUCCGCAGUUAAGCGUGCUUAGACGAGAGUAGUACUAGGAUGGGUGACCCCCUGGGAAGUCCUCGUGUUGCAACCCC
rnacentral:rRNA from 1 species